rnacentral:lncRNA from 12 species
UCCGCCCCCCUCCCGGGUCACCCCCCUCGCCCCCCGCUGCCGCCCGAAGCUGCCGGCCUGACCGCCCCUCUCCCCGGUUCCCUUUUCUGCUGACGCGGGCACUCGCCAGACUCCAGGAUGGAUUUCCGAAUCCCAGGCUGUACCCGGAGUCCCCUCCCAACAACUGACAACACUAGCAACCUCCCAGCUUCAGGAAGUAGAAGGGGCAGGAGUCACCGGUAAUUUGCUUUUUAAGCUCGUGCCUGUUGAUUACUUUCUGGUUGCUUGGAUCAAACAAUCGUUGCAAAUAUGCAAACCAGCAAGAGGAGAUUCAUACAUAUCCACUCUCCAAUUGUUCCUCCUGACGUCAGAUCAUAAUUUCUUGGUAAUUGGAUGGCUUGCACCCGAAUAACGCGCAUCUGAAAUUCUCUACGUUUCUCUAGGUUGCAGUAGAUUUUGUACUGGGAGUGUAGGGUGGAGUUGGGGGCAGGAUUUGGGUUGUUUGGUUUUUUUGUGUUUUUUUUUUUAAGAAUACUUUCCAGUUCACCAUAGUCCUAUUUUU